rnacentral:misc_RNA from 1 species
AACUUACCUACAACGUUGCUUCGGCGGGAAACCGACGGCCCCGUGAAACGGGCCGCCCCCGCCAGAGGACCCCCUAACUCUUGUUAUUAAUGUUUCUCUGAGUAAAACAAGCAAAUAAAUUAAAACUUUCAACAACGGAUCUCUUGGCUCUGGCAUCGAUGAAGAACGCAGCGAAAUGCGAUAAGUAAUGUGAAUUGCAGAAUUCAGUGAAUCAUCGAAUCUUUGAACGCACAUUGCGCCCGCCAGUAUUCUGGCGGGCAUGCCUGUCCGAGCGUCAUUACAACCCUCAGGCCCAGCCUGGUGUUGGGGAUCGGCCGAGCCCUCCGGGGCAGACGCCGUCCCCCAAAUUCAGUGGCGGUCUCGCUGCAGCCUCCAUUGCGUAGUAGCUAACACCUCGCAACUGGAACGCGGCGCGGCCAUGCCGUAAAACCCCCAACUUCUGAA